UGGAAAUGAAGGAUGAAAGGCUAUGAUCAUACCUCCCGGCAUGAAAGAAUGUUUCUGUGAAUGUUGUCAGGAAGCAUAUGCUUGGAUGUCACUCCAGAGGAAGGUAGCUGAUUGCUCCCAGCUGUACCUGCUUACCAAAUAAGAGUGAGCCAGCAUAAAAGCAAAGCUCCAGCUACCAGACUUGGAGAAAACGUUCCCCCAAGAGCUUUCUCCAGAGCGUUGUCUUUGUCCUGCCUAGCUUGUUGCUGCAGUUACAGUUGUUUCCUCCUGCAGUUCCGCAUUCUGCUGUGCUGAUGCUACAUGACAGGUGUGAGGGCUUUAAGGAUGCUGUUGCUGAAUGAGAUCCGCUGUAUGGGAUCCUCUUUUCCCGUCCAUGUUAUUUGGAGACGCGAGGUUCGACAGGUCAUGUGCAGUGUGAAGUUUGGUUGCUUCACCGAUGGAGAUGAACUUCCUCUGAACCUCACCGGCAGAUUGUGAAGUAAGCAAACAAAAACUGAAUGCUGACAGGGACUCAUAUUUGAUCACAAAGCCCCGGAUAUAGAAUCCAAUCUGGCUGGAACUUAUCUGAGCUCGUAAGGAUGCCAUUGAGCAUCUAGCUGAGCUUAGUGGGACACUUAUCCUCGCUUUAAUCCUGGCUCAAGAGACUGGAUCAGAGGAGCAUGAGCAGUAAUAAAGAUUAAUCAUCCAAUAGAGUAAAUCAAUAAUGCGGUCCAGGUACAAAGCAGGGACAGAGUUAGAGAUGCACACAUUUGAAGAAGUGUUUCUUUCACCGCUCACCCAAUGAGAAGUGAACACAUUUGAGUGGUGAAAGCACCCAUCAGGAUUGACAAUGCUCAAACGAAUAUUUAAAUUAACGUGCUUUAUUUAAAAUGCUAAUGAGAGCGUUAUCCAUAUUCAGCGGGUAGAGCUUGUUCAAGGUCAUUGGAGAGCACAGGGAAUCUGCAUUACAGCUAUGUAAUUAGAGAUGCGUCAGAGUUUAAAUUGUUGCUCUUUCUGUGGCGUUCAGGAGGAAAAGAGCUCAUUACUGUAAUUAGCUGUUUUACCGGCACGGUUCUGCUUUCUGCCAUGUGACCAUACGUUUGUAGCUGAAAGCAUCAAUGUGUUGCUUCACAUACUGCAGCUGUUUACAGCAUGUUUGUUUGAGCCUUAAGGAGUAUAAAUCUUGCAUAUCCCAAGUGUUUAAGUUUAAAAAUAUAUUGUUAAUGAAUCACUUUGAGAAUUUAGUUAAGGAACUAAGGAUUCUUCUCUGAUAUCAUGCUCUUUCAGUGUUCAAUUUUAUUAUAUUAAUGUAUACUGGGUGUUGUUUAUUGCUAUUUAUUUAUUUAUUACCUAGAUCUGGCAUGAAACUCUGAUGAUGCAGGCUGAUGGGUCUUUAACUUAAAAGCGAUAAUAAAUAUAUGUUUUCCACAAAAAUAUUAAGCAGCACUACUGUUUCCAACAUUGAUAAU